AUGUGCUACUGGUUUGUAUCACUGUGGCACACUUUUGGUGGAGGAACCAAACUGUCUGUGGGCCGUCUCACCCGGCCCAGCGUGACAGUGCUGCCCCCCUCCAGUGUGGAGCUGCAGCAGGAGAAGGUCACACUCGUGUGUGUGGCCAACAAGGGCUUCCCCUCGGACUGGAGGCUGACCUGGAAGGUUAAUGGGAACAGCUGGACCUCGGGGGAGAGUCACAGUGCUGAUGUUCUGCACACAGACGGCCUCUACAGCUGGAGCAGCACGCUGAGCCUUCGCUCAGAGCAGUGCAGGAACAAGCUGGUGACCUGUGAGGCCUUUAAGGAGAACCAACCUACUGUGGUGAGCACAGUGAACAUAGAGCAGUGCUCAGAGCUGUGAGCUCACACACACUUUACUCAGCUCAUAUCCUACUGCUUCACUGUGUGUUACAUCUGGUCUUUACUGCUUAAAUGUCCCAUUUUUAAAUAAAAGGCUUUGUUCAACAAUGAAACAGCAUUCUGAUUUUCCUCAUGAUCACUUUUUAUCACAGACUUCUCAAUGUAACGCAGCACAUCAUCUUCAAUGCAGCUGCUUUUUAUUUUAAUUCAUUAAGCUCCAGAACAGAAACUUCUGAGGAAAUCACAAUUAUGAACUAGAAAUCUAAGAACAAUUAUCAUUAUUAUAUUAAUUAUUCAUUAUCAAAACUUAUAAUCCUCCUGGGAUACAUUGCCCUAAAACAAUGAUAAUUAUGUAAACAUUUUUAAGAGUCGUUGCUGGGUGUUUAAGUUUAUACUGAAUCUAAAGUUACAUUAAAUUAACAAUAAUAGUAGUAACUUUUCCUGACUUCUUAAUACUUUUAAACAUCUGCACACACCACUGGUCUAUUUUGGUAGCAUAAACUCCUCUCAUGCAAAUCUGUUUAUACUGAAGCUAAUGGUUGUGGUAUAAUAGAAUUAAAACAAUAAAUUGUGCUUUUGUGGGAAAAUAAGCAGCUUUGGGGUAAUAAUUACUAACUCUGCUUCUAGUUAAGCCAUA